AUCCAGCUGACGAGUUCCUAAUUGGACGAAACGCGCAUCUUGGAU
rfam:Schistosoma margrebowiei strain Zambia genome assembly, scaffold: SMRZ_contig0000044